GACGAACGCUGGCGGCGUGCUUAACACAUGCAAGUCGAACGGAAAGGCCCUGCUUUUGUGGGGUGCUCGAGUGGCGAACGGGUGAUUAACACGUGAGUAACCUGCCCUUGACUUUGGGAUAACUUCAGGAAACUGGGGCUAAUACCGGAUAGGAGCUCCUGCUGCAUGGUGGGGGUUGGAAAGUUUCGGCGGUUGGGGAUGGACUCGCGGCUUAUCAGCUUGUUGGUGGGGUAGUGGCUUACCAAGGCUUUGACGGGUAGCCGGCCUGAGAGGGUGACCGGCGACAUUGGGACUGAGAUACGGCCCAGACUCCUACGGGAGGCAGCAGUGGGGAAUAUUGCACAAUGGGCGGAAGCCUGAUGCAGCAACGCCGCGUGCGGGAUGACGGCCUUCGGGUUGUAAACCGCUUUCGCCUGUGACGAAGCGUGAGUGACGGUAAUGGGUAAAGAAGCACCGGCUAACUACGUG
rnacentral:rRNA from 1 species